AUUGGGAAUCUGCAGAUCUUAAGCCCGGGGAAGCCCUCCUGCCCGACUCCUCCUGGUUACAUGAGCACCUCAUGCUGUCUAUGAUUUGAAACAUGGUGGGCUGAGAUUUGUAACUAACAGCUGAAGUCACCCUAACGGUGCCAGAGUACAUCAUCUGACCCUUCAUAUGAAAAAAACGAAGCUGGGCAUGGUGGUGCACACCUGUAGUCCCAGCACUCGGGAGACUGAGGCAGGAGGGUUGCUGCAAGUUUGAGGUCUGCUUGGGCUACAUAGUGAAACCCUGGCUCAAAAACUGGAGCAAAACACCACACCACCAAGAACCAAAAAAACCACCAAGGAACGUCCUCCAGCCGCCUCCCUGUUUAUUCUUCAUGGUGUUCACAACCGCGCAUCAGGGCACUGAGGGGGUUGCUCUCGUCUCUGUCUGCUGCUGCCUCUUUGGGGGUGCAGGAACACGAGCUCUGCCGUGCUGCCACCCUGCCUGGAGCCGCCCUGGAGCCCCCCAAGAGCUCUGGAGCUGCCAGCUCGUGAGCAAUUUCCAUUCCGCUCUUAAUGCGUUCUGAGCUUCCAGCUGUUUAUCUAACGGACCUUUAUUGCUGUUGUGAUCCGAAAAAAAGCAUAAAUAUUUUUCCCUCUGUGGAGAUGACACAACGGAGAGACAUUUCAACGAUAAUGUCUGCAAAGGAGAAAGGGAGACGGCGCAUUCUUGUGAGUCUCAGAAACAUAUGACAAACCGGCUGGUGUGAGAGGCAGUGUUUGUCUGCGUGGCCAGGGACCUGCCCGGCCAGAGCGCAGAUGUGCGGAGAGAGAUUCCCCCUCCACAGCCGCUGUGUGUCCCAGGCAGCUGGGGUGGACAGGACGCUGCGCAACUCUGCACCCAGGAGGCCCACGGGGCCGCCCUGCGCCAGGGUCUCUCUCUUCUGCUGUCAGAUCUGCGGGUGCACAGAUGUGCUGGCCCCUCCGUUCCCGAG